GUUAAGAAAUGGCUUAAAAUUGGUAGUGGAUUGUUGUUGUUGGUAGUGGGUUGUUGGUGGUAGUGGAUUAGUGGAUGGUUGUUGGUGUCCAUUUUCAACCACAAAUCUUUGCCAAAGUUUUGGACAAUUAUGUCCUUGAACUCUCUUAUAAAUAGAGAGGUUCAUUAGCCAUAUUCAUCAUCCCAAACCAAGAGAGAGCAAAGCUUGUUCUUUGAAAGCUAGGAUUUUAGCUUUCAGGUUUUCUAUAGGGGUUGACAGUCGUGAGGUUCUCGGGUUGUGUCUUGAGUGUAAAACACUUGUAAUCUUCAUCUUGUUAUAGUGAAAUUUCUUUUCGCCUCUGCCCGUGGACGUAGGCAUUAAAGCCGAACCACGUAAAUCCUUGUGUUCACUUUAUUUUUCGUUUCGGUCAAUUUACUUGUAGUCAUAUCGGAGUUCUCGAAUCGAUCCUUUCCGCAACAAAUUGGUAUCAGAGCGUAGUUGAAGGAGUGAUAAUAUUUUCUGAAUUGCCCUGUGACUGCAGCUUUGUCUGAUCUUUCACAUCAGGAAGAAAAUAUUAUCAUUCAUUCAAAGGUUCCAAAUUAUGGCUACAAGUGUUUCAUCGACUAAGUAUGAUGUCGAGAAAUUUACCGGGAAAAAUAGUUUCAGUUUAUGGCGCAUCAAGAUGCGGGCAGUGCUGGUUCAACAAGGAUUGCUAAAAGCAUUGUCUGGUAAAGAUAAAUUACCAAGCACGCUUUCGGAAGAGCAAAAGGAUGACAUGCUAGAAAGAGCACAUAGUGCUAUUCUGCUAUGUCUAGGAGAUGAAGUGCUACGAGAAGUAGCGGAUGAGAAAACCGCGUCCGGUUUGUGGCUCCGGUUAGAGAGCAAGUACAUGACGAAGUCAUUGACGAACCGGCUCUACCUCAAGCAAAGACUCUAUGCCCUGAAGAUGGAGGAAGGUACACCUGUUUCCCAGCACCUGGAUAAAUUCAAUUCCAUUAUCAUGGAUUUGAAUAAUAUUGAUAACAAAAUCGAUGAUGAGGACCAAGCAAUAAUUGUUUUGUGUUCUUUGCCUCCCUCGUAUGAGAAUUUUGUUGAUACAAUGAUGUACGGUCGUGAUGACCUGACUCUAGAGGAGGUGAAAAAUGCCUUAAGUUCCAGUGAGUUGAGGAAGAAAAUCACUGGUAAGGUGGUCGAAAACAAUGAAGGCGAAGGCUUGGUUGCUCGAGGAAGAUCCAAGGCAAAGGGUGGAAGUUCAAGUAAAAGCCAUCCUAGAUCGCAGUCCAAGAAGAGAAUACAGUGCUACUACUGUAAGAAGUACGGGCACAUGAAGGUAGAUUGUCCGAAAAGGAAGGAGAAAUCAGAAUCACAGGAGCAACAAAAUGAUCGUGCGAAUGUAGCUGAUGCAGAUUCUUCAAGUGAUGCCGAGAUCGUUCUUGCAGUAUCCGACUCUUACGCUGGUGGGAGAUGGAUUCUUGAUACGGGAGCUACAUUUCAUAUAAGUACUUCGAAAGAUGCAUUCUCAACAUACGAGAAGCAUUCUGGUUCAGUACUAAUGGGAAAUGACCACGCAUGUCAAGUCAUGGGGAUUGGCACAGUUCGUAUAAAGAUGUUUGACGGUAUUGUUAGAACUCUAACUGAUGUUCGGCACAUUCCAGAAAUGAAGAAAAAUUUGAUCUCUUUGAGUACGUUGGACAAGAAAGGCUUUCGGUACUCUGCUGAAGGUGGAGUUCUCAAGGUAUUCUCGGGUGCUUUGACUGUGAUACGUGGUAAUUUGGAGCGGGGCCUUUACUUCCUCGAUGGUUCCUCGGUUACAGGUGUUGCGGGAGUGUCAUCAUCAGAUGAUCUAGAUUCUGACACCACGAAGUUAUGGCAUAUGCGGCUCGGGCAUAUGAGCGAGAGAGGCUUAUCGGUGCUAAGCAAACGAGGAUUAUUGUCUGGGCAGUGUACAGGAAAGUUGAAUUUCUGUGAGCACUGCGUCUUCGGUAAGCAGACUCGGGUAAAGUUCAGCACUGGGAUUCACAAGACAAAAGGCACAGUGGAUUACUUCCAUUCUGACCUUUGGGGGCCUUCUCCGACAAUUUCUAAAGGUGGUUACAAAUAUCUGCUUACCUUUAUCGAUGAUUACUCGAGAAAGGUUUGGGUGUAUUUUCUGAAGAGCAAGUAUGAGGUUCUCAUCAACUUCAAGCAAUUUAAAGCUUUGAUCGAAAAUCAAACAGGAAAGAAGAUCAAGCGAUUCCGGACGGAUAAUGGCUUGGAGUUUUGCUCAGGUGAAUUCAAUGAGUUCUGCAAAAAUGAAGGAAUAGUGAGACACCGCACUGUUCGUCGAACACCACAACAAAAUGGAGUUGCAGAACGCAUGAAUAGAACUCUCUUGGAGCGAGCUCGUUGCAUGCGAUCAAAUGCUGGGCUCGGUGAAGAAUUUUGGGCUGAAGCUGUUAAUACUGCUUGUUAUUUGGUUAACAGAUCUCCGUCAACAGCUAUUGAGCUGAAGACUCCUGAGGAAGUAUGGUCUGGUUCUCCUGCUGAUUACUCUGGUUUAAGAGUGUUUGGCUGCCCUGCGUAUGCUCAUGUAAAUGAGGGAAAACUCAAACCGAGGGCGAAGAAAUGCAUAUUUCUUGGAUACGGCCAAGGGGUGAAAGGAUACAGGUUGUGGUGUCCUGAUCCGGUUUCGUCCAAGUUCAUCAUCAGCAGAGAUGUGACUUUUGAUGAGUCAUCCAUGCUUCGAUCCACCACAAAUUCCCGGGAAAAGGAGGAGUCAGAUAGAAUGGGAGAUCACGGUGUUGAGAAGCAGGUGGAGUGUCAGGUGGACGCUCCAAUUCCUACGGAAGGUACUUCAGUCCAGGAUGAUCAAGUUGAGGUGCAAGAUUCCGAUGAAGAUGAGUCACCUCAAGAAAAACCAUAUAGCAUUGCCACUGGAAGAACGAAGAGACAAAUCAAACCAAAUCCGCGUUACGCUAAUCUGGUGUCUUUCGCGCUCAGUGUGGCGGAGUCCAUUGGUAUAGAACCUUCCAGUUAUAAUGAGGCUGUCACGUGUGAUGAGUCGGCACAGUGGGCAAUUGCUAUGAGUGAGGAGAUAGAAUCUCUUCACAAGAACCAUACUUGGGAGUUGGUUAAGCCGCCAAGUAACCAGAAGAUAGUUGGUUGCAAAUGGGUCUUCAAGAAAAAGGAAGGCAUCCUAGGGGUUGAAGCAACUAGAUUCAAGGCACGAUUGGUUGCUAAAGGCUUCACUCAGAAAGAGGGGAUUGACUACAAUGAAGUUUUCUCUCCAGUCGUAAAGCAUUCUUCCAUUCGUGUAUUACUUGCCAUGGUGGCCAAGUCUGAUCUAGAACUUGAGCAGCUUGACGUAAAAACGGCGUUCUUGCAUGGUGAGCUCGAGGAAACAAUCUACAUGCGUCAACCAGAGGGUUUUACAGUUCCUGGUAAAGAAGACCAUGUCUGUCUAUUAAAGAAGUCUUUAUAUGGAUUGAAACAAUCCCCAAGGCAGUGGUACAAGCGGUUUGAUAGCUUCAUGAUUCAGCAUGGUUACACAAGAUGUGACUAUGAUGCUUGUGUCUAUCAUCGGAAGCUCUCAGAUGGUUCGCACAUUUAUUUGUUGCUGUAUGUUGAUGACAUGUUAAUUGCUUCCAAAAACAUGUCGGAAAUCAACAAGUUAAAGUCGCAGUUGAGUGGUGAGUUCGAGAUGAAGGAUCUGGGUGCUGCCAAGAAAAUUUUGGGCAUGGAUAUUCACAGAGAUCGCAAGGCGGGCAAGCUUCGUGUGUCGCAGAAGAACUACAUUGAAAAGGUUCUUCAACGCUUCGGCAUGGAUAAAGCGAAAACUGUGAGUACUCCGUUGGCACCACAUUUCAAACUCUCUGCAGAGUUGUCACCACAAUCUGAUGAAGAAAAGCAGCAAAUGUCUCACAUUCCAUACUCGAGUGCAGUUGGAAGCGUGAUGUAUGCAAUGGUUUGCACUCGUCCAGACAUUUCACAUGCAGUUAGUGUGGUCAGCAGAUACAUGAGUUGUCCUGGCAAGGAACACUGGCAGGCCGUGAAAUGGAUUCUCAGGUACUUGAGAGGUUCUGCAGAUUUAUGCUUGGUAUAUGAUCAGAGUGACUGCACUAGCAGUGUCACGGGCUAUGUGGACUCUGAUUAUGCUGGAGAUCUGGACAAAAGAAGAUCUCUGACGGGUUAUGUUUUCACUUAUUCUGGAGGAGCCAUUAGUUGGAAAGCUGUGUUACAGUCUACCGUAGCCUUAUCUACGACUGAGGCGGAAUAUAUGGCGUUAGCAGAAGCAGUGAAAGAAGCAUUGUGGAUGAAAGGUCUAGUAAGCAGUUUGGGUUUACAACAGGAUUUCACUGUUGUAUUUUGCGAUAGCCAGAGUGCCAUACAUCUGACUAAAAAUCAGAUGUUUCAUGAACGGACCAAACACAUUGAUGUCAGAUAUCAUUUUGUUCGGGAACAUGUUACGCAAGGUGACAUUGUUAUCAGCAAGGUUGCUACCGAGAAGAAUCCUGCAGAUAUGUUAACUAAGGUGAUCCCUGCAUAUAAGUUCAAGCAUUGCUUGGACUUGAUAGGUAUUCGGGAUUGAUUAGCGCCAGAGAGGCGUUUGGAAGAGGUGAUCCAGUUCGAGGAAUUCACUAUGAUGUUCAGCUUGGUAAAUUUCAAGCCAAGGUGGAGAUUUGUUAAGAAAUGGCUUAAAAUUGGUAGUGGAUUGUUGUUGUUGGUAGUGGGUUGUUGGUGGUAGUGGAUUAGUGGAUGGUUGUUGGUGUCCAUUUUCAACCACAAAUCUUUGCCAAAGUUUUGGACAAUUAUGUCCUUGAACUCUCUUAUAAAUAGAGAGGUUCAUUAGCCAUAUUCAUCAUCCCAAACCAAGAGAGAGCAAAGCUUGUUCUUUGAAAGCUAGGAUUUUAGCUUUCGGGUUUUCUAUAGGGGUUGACAGUCGUGAGGUUCUCGGGUUGUGUCUUGAGUGUAAAACACUUGUAAUCUUCAUCUUGUUAUAGUGAAAUUUCUUUUCGCCUCUGCCCGUGGACGUAGGCAUUAAAGCCGAACCACGUAAAUCCUUGUGUUCACUUUAUUUUUCGUUUCGGUCAAUUUACUUGUAGUCAUAUCGGAGUUCUCGAAUCGAUCCUUUCCGCAACAUAAAAAGAAGUGGUUGCAUGAUCUGCUACACCUGAAAGAUGGGUGCAGGAGGUAAGCAGAUCUGUGCACAUGCUACACAACGAGGUUCGCUGCCAUAUUCUUCAUUGUUUUGGACAAGAGCUAG
rnacentral:lncRNA from 1 species